AGAUCCUUAAUCGUGGUAUCCAAUGGCUUGAUGUACAGGGUGUUAUUGUUCAGCGCAAUGUCACCACUGGCGCGGACAUCAUCACCAACCAGUGGGAUAUCCAGAUGCAGCGAGCCUUUCACCGACCCGCCAAUUUUUAGUUCAUCCAGCGCCAUACCCAGCGAGGAUUUCAGCGGCGUCUGAUGGAAAUAGUUGCCCACCUCCGGUCCUGGACCGUCUAGCUCACCAUCAACGAGCAGCAUCUCUUUUUCAUAAUCGGGAAUAACCGCGCUAAUAUUUUUGCCUUCAACCUUACCCAGCCAGGUUUGUGGCGCAAACAUCCACAGACCGUUGUUAGCAAAAUCCAGAUUGAUAUCCAGCGGCGUCAGCGCAGGCCAGCCCGGUUGAAACUCGAAAGUCGCCUCUUUCACUGGCACC
rnacentral:ncRNA from 18 species